GUGCUUGCUUCGGCAUCACAUAUACUAAAAUUGGAAUGAUACAGAGAAGAUUAGCAUGGCCCCUGUGCAAAGAUGACACACAAAUUCGUGAAGCGUUCCACAUUUAA
rnacentral:snRNA from 1 species